rnacentral:rRNA from 1 species
UAAGACGGAGGGGGCAAGCGUUGUUCGGAAUUAUUGGGCGUAAAGGGCUCGUAGGCGGAUCCGCCAGUCUGACGUGAAAUCUCCACCGCUCACCGGGGAGGGGCCGUUGGAUACUACGGAUCUGGAGUUCGGCAGAGGACCAUGGAAUUUCGGGUGUAGCGGUGGAAUGCGUAGAUAUCCGAAAGAACACCGGUGGCGAAGGCGGUGGUCUGGGCCUGAACUGACGCUGAGGAGCGAAAGCCAGGGGAGCAAACGGGAUUAGAUACCCCGGUAGUCCUGGCCGUAAACGUUGAAUACUAGGUGUGGGGGGUAUCGACCCCUCCCGUGCCGCAGCUAACGCAAUAAGUAUUCCGCCUGGGAAGUACGGCCGCAAGGUUG